GUUUAUGUAGUUUACUUAAAACUUUACAUUUUCACUGUAAGAACAGAUAUUAACUAUCUCUUAAAUA
rnacentral:tRNA from 1 species